AACGAACGCUGGCGGCAUGCCUAACACAUGCAAGUCGAACGAGACCUUCGGGUCUAGUGGCGCACGGGUGCGUAACGCGUGGGAACCUGCCCUUAGGUUCGGAAUAACUCUCCGAAAGGGGUGCUAAUACCGGAUAACGUCUUCGGACCAAAGAUUUAUCGUCUUUGGAUGGGCCCGCGUUGGAUUAGCUAGUUGGUAGGGUAAAAGCCUACCAAGGCGACGAUCCAUAGCUGGUCUGAGAGGAUGAUCAGCCACACUGGGACUGAGACACGGCCCAGACUCCUACGGGAGGCAGCAGUGGGGAAUAUUGGACAAUGGGCGAAAGCCUGAUCCAGCAAUGCCGCGUGAGUGAUGAAGGCCUUAGGGUUGUAAAGCUCUUUUACCCGGGAUGAUAAUGACAGUACCGGGAGAAUAAGCGCCGGCUAACUCCGUG
rnacentral:rRNA from 1 species